rnacentral:rRNA from 1 species
AUUGAACGCUGGCGGCAGGCCUAACACAUGCAAGUCGAACGAGUGGCGGACGGGUGAGUAAUGUCUGGGAAACUGCCUGAUGGAGGGGGAUAACUACUGGAAACGGUAGCUAAUACCGCAUACCAUCAGAUGUGCCCAGAUGGGAUUAGCUUGUUGGUGGGGUAAUGGCUCACCUAGGCGACGAGCCCUAGCUGGUCUGAGAGGAUGACCAGGCACACUGGAACGGAGACACGGUCCAGACUCCUACGGGAGGCAGCAGUGGUGAAUAUUGCACAAGUGGCGCAAGCCUGAUGCAGCCAUGCCGCGUGUGUGAAGAAGGCCUUCGGGUUGUAAAGCACUUUCAGCGAGGAGGCGUUACUCGCAGAAGAAGCAACGGCUAACUCCGUGCCAGCAGCCGCGGUAAUAC